rnacentral:hammerhead_ribozyme from 1 species
GCAUUGCGGACGAGUCCCAAACAGGACGAAACGGCUGUCCAUUGC